rnacentral:rRNA from 1 species
GACGAACCGUGCGAACGUUAUUCGGAAUCACUGGGCUUAAAGGGCGCGUAGGCGGGUCCGUAAGUCAGGGGUGAAAUCCCACGGCCCAACCGUGGAAGUGCCUCUGAUACUGCGGGCCUCGAGGGGGGUAGGGGCGUGCGGAACUCCGGGUGGAGCGGUGAAAUGCGUAGAUAUCCUGAGGAACACCGGUGGCGAAAGCGGCGCGCUGGAUCACUUCUGACGCUGAGGCGCGAAAGCCAGGGGAGCAAACGGG